UACGGAGGGUGCGAGCGUUGUCCGGAAUCAUUGGGCGUAAAGGGCGCGUAGGUGGCCCGGUCAGUCUUUGGUGAAAGCGCGGGGCUCAACCCUGCGUCGGCCAGGGAUACUGCCGCGGCUGGAGCACUGUAGAGGCAGGCGGAAUUCCGGGUGUAGCGGUGAAAUGCGCAGAUAUCAGGAGGAACACCAAUGGCGAAGGCAGCUCGCUGGGACGUGACUGACGCUGAGACGCGAAAGCGUGGGGAGCAAACAGG
rnacentral:rRNA from 1 species